CUACCGGUUCCCGUACGAUCACCGAAGUUAAGCAGCAUCGAGCUUGGCCAAGUACCUAGAUGGGUGGGUAACCUCUUGUGAAUGCCAGGGGCUGUAAG